UACGUAGGGUGCAAGCGUUAUCCGGAAUUAUUGGGCGUAAAGAGCUCGUAGGCGGUUUGUCGCGUCUGCUGUGAAAACUGGAGGCUCAACCUCCAGCCUGCAGUGGGUACGGGCAAACUAGAGUGCGGUAGGGGAGAUUGGAAUUCCUGGUGUAGCGGUGGAAUGCGCAGAUAUCAGGAGGAACACCGGUGGCGAAGGCGCACAUCUGGCCCGAUACUGACGCUGAAGCGCGAAAGCUAGGGGAGCAAACGGG
rnacentral:rRNA from 1 species